AGUGAACGCUGGCGGCGUGCCUAAUACAUGCAAGUCGAACGGAGUGGCGCCAGGGUUAGUAAUGUAUAGCUAAUCUGCACUCCACUAGCGAACAAAAGUUGGAAACGGCUGCUAAUACUCUAUAGUGUAGGAUGAGGCUAUAUUGUAUCCGCGAGUUGGUGAGGUAAUGGCUAACCAAGGCGAUGACGCAUAACUUGUCUGAGAGGAUGAUCAGUAGCACGGGAACUGAGACACGGUCCAGACUCCUACGGGAGGCAGCAGUAGGGAAGAGUGCUCAAUGGGGGAAACCCGGAAGCAGCAACGCCGCGUGGAGGAUGAAACUGUUCGGAGCGUAAACUCUGUUUGUUAGGGAAGCGGUACCUAACGAAUAAGCACCGGCUAACUCCGUGCCAGCAGCCGCGGUAAUAC
rnacentral:rRNA from 1 species